ensembl:ncRNA K04D7.9 ncRNA
AUUCACAUAAAUAAACACAAAAGAAGCAUCCGAGCUCCUCCUUCUCCGCCCCAUUCACCCCAUUACAUGCUGAUUUAUGAGAUUAUCUGAACGCUCGUCCUCUUUCGCUUACUCUCUCUUUGCCGUCUUAAUCUGAAUGGAAGACCACAUGGCUUCUGUUCAACGAAAAAAUUUACAUUUUGUACUUUUUGCCUUACUAUGGUUCCCGAAAUUUUA